AUGUGUGGCCAUACCACCCCGAAUCCUUCUGGUCUCAUCUGGUCUUGGAAGCCGAGCAAGGUCAGGGCCUGCUUAGUGCCUGAGUGGGAGACUGCCUGGGAAUACCAGGUGCUGUAGGCU
rnacentral:rRNA from 1 species